rnacentral:rRNA from 1 species
UACGUAGGGUGCAAGCGUUAAUCGGAAUACUGGGCGUAAAGCGUGCGCAGGCGGUGAUGUAAGACAGGUGUGAAAUCCCCGGGCUUAACCUGGGAACUGCAUUUGUGACUGCAUCGCUGGAGUGCGGCAGAGGGGGAUGGAAUUCCGCGUGUAGCAGUGAAAUGCGUAGAUAUGCGGAGGAACACCGAUGGCGAAGGCAAUCCCCUGGGCCUGCACUGACGCUCAUGCACGAAAGCGUGGGGA